CUGGAAUUGGACUAGGAACAUUACCCUAAGAUGUUUUUGGACUUAUAAACUUGUUUUUGAUGUGGUAAUGUUCAUGCUAAUCCAAUUUCAAAGAUAAUUGUCAAUAGAUUCAUGUUUUGUAUUAGUUUAAGGUUUAGACUAAUUACAUGAAAAAGUUUGAUUUGAAUUAUCUUGUUCUUAUGAGUUGCUUAGAUUAAUAGAAAAGUUAAUUGAUUAUGUGUUUUCAAUCCAAAUUAAUCUAAGAGUUGAUUCUAAAAUGUGUUUUUGUAACUUGUCCUCAAGUUAUAUGAAAAGUCACAUUUAAGUUUCAUAAAACUCAUAAAAGUUGGCAAUGGUUACAAAAGAUGAAGAGUCUUGUCCUUAAGUUAUGGAGGUUCAAGAGUCACUUCAUUAAGUAAUAAAAUGUGUAACCUUAAUUAAUUCCAUAAGUUACAAAAUAAAGAAAAGUUACAUUCUUUUAUUAGUUUAAAGUCUUCCAUAACUUGUCCUCAAGUUAUGGAACUUGAAGAGUUUUUAAUUAAAACUACUUUAAACACAUAAGUUAUGGAAUUAAUUAGUUUUGAAUAGUUUCAAAACUUUCCCUCAAGUUUUGGAAUUUGAAAAGUUUUCACUUAUGAAUACUUUAAUUCCAAGUUAGCCCUUAGAAUUUUAAAAGUUAAAAUUCAACCCUUAUACUUUAUAAUAUUAUAAGUUAAUAAUAUAUAUAUAUAUAAGAGUAAAGUCAGUCUUACCGCUAGUACGCCUCAUUCACGAAGCCGGUCUAUAAGGUGGGUAUAAGGUUGUUGCCUAUAAAAUGGCAACUUAAUGGGUGUCCACUCUCACCCACCGCUUGCUUGACUGGUGGAGGGUCGUUAGCCGAACGGGUUUGACAGGACUAGAAUUCUCCCUUCAUUAAAAGUAUUAAUGAUAAAUACUAAGUAACUAAACUCUUAAUAAUACCCAAUCUUAGUUACUUAGGAAAAUGUGAAUAAGGUGCUAAUCCAUGAAAUUACACUUUGCACUUUGUUUAAGUCGGUUAGUGGAGCGUGUGUGGUUAACCGGCACACUAACUCGUAUUUAACAAGGUAGGCAAAGGGUAACUUAAUGUUUAUCAUAGUAUCGAUGGAGCGUGUGUGGUUAACCGGCACAUCGAUUAAGGGGUAAACACUUAAGGGUACCAAGUAAUUUGCAUGGUUACUUCACACCUUGUUUUGUGAUCCUCGGCAUCCCAGUCACAAAACCUGAAGGGCACACUCGAGAUUGAAACAUGCCAUUGAACAGUUCAAUGAAUCUCAAAGAUCUAGGAGUUUCAAAACCAAUUAAAACCUAAUAAUACAUUUCGUUUAUCUUGGUGGAAAUUGGUGAAUCGUCAUUCACCUACCUUCAAAUAUUUUAUAGCUUGGAUUACGGCAUACCUCUUCUAAGUUAUAAAAUAGUUUGUUGGGUCCUAGCCUUAAUAUUUCAUAUUGGGUGUCAUAUUAAGGACUUUAAAUCAACUAUCUUGAAUAUCUCCCAAAAAGAUGUCUGGUUUAGACAUUUAUGAUCUUCCCAAAUCUCUUGAAACAAGCUUUCCUAAAUGAAGAUGAUGUCCUAUGGAAAUCAUACUUCCUCCACCUCCUCCAAUUAUUCUCCCUGUCCCACAAGUUCAAGGUCACUCAAGCCCUAUUGGCAAGGCAAGGUCUAGGUGUGCUCACAUCUUGGAGAUGAAGUCACAUACUGACAAGCUGGGAGAGUUGGGUGUCAAAGUCUUGAGCAAGGUGGUGGUUCAAUCACUUUCUAAGUCACAUAGUGAGUUCCUUUGGGACUCCUAUGAAACAGUCUAUGACAAGACCCUUAAUGAUCUUAUCUAUUUGCUAAGAUCAACUUCCUAAAACUUUAUGUACAUUGACAAUGAAGACACUAGAAAUCCAGAAAAAACAUUCUCUUCCCAAUGGAAAGGGAUCGGCCAUAGUCAACUCGGUUGACCAAAUGGUAAAGAGAGAGGCUAAGUCUGAGAUAGUCCCAUUAUCAAGGGUCCAUUGCCAAAGGAAGGGGCAUUAGUUGCUAAGCUGCCAAAUUUUACCUAAGGAUGUUAAAGUCAAUAAGUUUGACUCUACUUCAGGUAAAUUCUACUAUCUAACUCUGCUAAGUUUCUAUUAUGAGAUUCUUGAUACAUGAUGUGACUGGGUCACAUGUUGAUGUUUUAAGAAUCAAAGAAAAGUGAAGAAACUUAAAGAAAGAAUAUGCUGAAUCUGAUCGCGUAGAUGGAUUUCUAUCGCAUAGUUUGAAGUUCGGAUUCUUGAGCUACUUCUUAGGAGUUAUGAUGUAUUGCUUAGCAAUAGAUAACAACAAAGUUUUCAUGUGCUUUUGCACUGUAAGGAUAGUUUUUUCUCAAAGUUUUUAAAAUAAAAGGAAAAAAAAUUGUUUAUUUUAAAAUAUCCUUACAAUGGCAUUUGUGAAAUUUUUUGUUGCUUAUAAAGAUUCCAUUAAGAGCAAGAGUGGAAAUAUGAAUUUGAUUCUUUCAUUUGUGGUAAUGUCUAAAUUUACCAAAUAAGGAAAGAUUCUCAUCACCCAAGUUUCAAUUGGACCGGAACUUGGAAUCAUGCAAGUUGUAUAGCAUGAUGAUGAGAACUUUCAAGCAUUGGAAAAAUUAAGACUAACUACUUGUUCACAUGGAUGUGUGAGUCAAAUAAAAGGAGUAAGGGAUCGAGUACACAUUCUUGUGCGCCGGUCAAGUCCACCACAAAAGAUCGAUAAGAUUAUUCGUCAUAAUUUACUAAAGCUCAGUAAAUAUGGUUAUAUCUACAAGCUUAAGUGUAAUUGGAAUAAGGUUCCAAUGUAUGACAGAGAGAAUAAGAAGAAUCAACUUAGGCAGAAGGAUAAAAGUUUCUCAAAUCUGAAAAGAUGGGAGAGUACUUUAGUAUCAGUUUUUGUGAUCAUCUUAAUGAUUAAGAAACCAUAGCACAAUUAGUUCUCUAAGGAAAUCUUAGUGCAUUCUUAUGACUAAGAAGAGGAAUAUUGAAUUGUUGAAAUGGUUAAAUCAAGAAGAUGAGUCAUACUUCGUUCCAAUACAAGUCUUAGAGUCAUACUCCAAGAUUGUAACUUGAGUGACAUGUUUCAAAAGAAGGUUUAAAACACUUGUCAAAUGUAAGAGUAAAAGUUUUCUACUCUUGUACAUUUGAAAUUGGUAAGUUGUGAUGUUUUGGAUAAAACAAAGACCAACUAAGGCCAAUUGUGUGAAGUGUUUGUCUUGAUUAGAAUCCACACUAUCUCUUGAAUAUUUGACAAGAAAGUCUUAUAUGUCAAGAGGACAGUGGGAGUCUUAAAGGUCUUGAAAGUCUCAAGAACUAAUCAAGAAUAAAACCUGAAGUUCUUCACUAGCACACGACUUGAGGUUUAUAACCUAUCGUGUUGACAUAUUCUGUGCCCAUUCCAGUUAAAGUUGGCUUUGCAUAUGAGUUCUUAGAGUUCUCAAUUUGUUGCACAACAACUUGGAAGCAAUGGCAGGCCCUUGAGCUGCCAGGUGGCAAGAAAUUAAGAUUGAGUUCAGUCCAUAUGAGUUUGGAUUUGUCAUUAUCCUGUCUUGUGACUAUGGUUUUGACAAUUCACAUGGAUAAGAACACAUACACCAUUAAAUCUAAGUGUCAUAAGGUUUCUCUUCGGUUCAUGAAAAUGAUGGUGAGGAAACACUUUCACUAAGUAAAUUUUAGCUAGAUAGCAAUUGUGUUAUUUUCAUUCUCAAAGUCGUUAGUGGAGCCUAUGUGGUUUACUGGCACACUAACAUGGACUUGUGAGAAGUGGCAAAGGUCUAAACAAUCAAGACUAUGAUUACGACAUCCCUUUUCAUAAUUCUUAAAAUUGUUUAGACAUACCUGUGAGCUAUCUAAGAUAAGGUGUAUGAUUAUGAUAAAGUUUUAUCAAAGCAAUCUAGUAUCAGAAAUCUGAACUUUGGUAAGAAAGUCAAUAAAGUAUUGAUUUCUAGAAGUCCAGCUGAUUUCUGAGUACAUGUCAAAGCUAGUGGGAGCAUAAGUGUUAUGCUAAUAAUCAUCAUGUUAGUGGGAGCAUGAUAAUUAUGAUAAGUAUUGCAAGUUAGCAAUGUUAAUUAUAGAAAACAAAAGUUUCAAUUGGGAAAAAGUUGUUUUGCUAUAAUUAAGGGAGAGGAAAUUAUGCUUCAUCUCAAAUCUAUAAGCUUAGAUCGUGAGGUUUUAAUCAUUUAGUCAAGGAUAUAUAUGAAUUUCAUGUUGGAAUGGCUCAACAUAAGGAAAUUCUGUAUAUGGGUCCAUUAUUUGCGUUCUAAAAUUCGAUUAUGAUUACGGCAUCCCUUUUCAUAAUCUGAAUUAUGAGAACUUGGCAAAUUGAAAUGGAAAUAUUAUAGCAAAAGACUGGUUUAGUCUUUAUGUAAGACAUCAUGAAUCGUGUCCCAUAUGCUUCGGAUAUAGGAUCGAUUACAUGUGCUAUAUUCAUCCGUUCUAAAAUUUUCCAAAUGCCUGGGGCAUUAAGAAGGGAAAAGGUUUAGAACUGGAUAUGACUAAAAGGAUUAAACAAUUGUCGAGGACAAUCUAAGGUUUACCAAAGAUUGGUUGCUCAAGGACAGUUGGAAGUAUAGUGAUAAUUCUGGAAGGACCAUAUUGACAUAAUCUGUAAGGAGGCAACUCUUGUUCAGAAGUGAUAGUCAAAAUGGAAUCUGGAAAUGUUUCAAAGUUAGAAUUUUCAAUCUGUGUAAGAUUAAGGAAACUUAAUGCAAGAAGGAUAUUUCCAAGGAGUUGAUCUCCUUUGGAAUACUCUGUAAUGAUUGUUGCCAAGUCUUUGUGACUUUGUGCAUAAUCAUUACAAGAGGAUCAAUGCAUAUAAGUUUAGAAUCUAACAGAUUUCAGUAAAUGGCAUGAAUUUGGAAUUCUUGCAUUUGCAGUAAGGAUUUGGGAGUGUGAAAAGAGAAUCAUUGAAGUUAUGUUCAAUUGAUCUAGUUCACAAAGUAAAGAUCAUAGACAAACAUAGUAUGCAUACUUGGUGUGUGGCAUGACUAGUGUUUAAGAAAACAUAGUGUACAUGCUUGGAGCAUGGGACAACUAUUGUUUUAAAUUCAAGAAUAAAGUUGAUAGCUGAAACAGUAUACAAUGAAUAAUGUGUAAUCAUAUGGUGAUAAAUAAAAGGUGUUUUAUUUAUGUUCAAAGGGUUGAUACCAUAUUGGAUUCAAUUAUUAUUGUGUUUCAUUUUGCAUGUUUUGACUUCCCGAAUAAACUGGGUUAUUCUUCCGGAAUGACUAAGUUAUUCAAACCAUCCACAGUCGGUCAUAUGUUGGAAGUAGAUAUGAAUUAAGACUGUCAUGGGUUGGCUUGUAGAGGUCUAAGGUGUUGGACAAAGGGCUACAACACUCAUGAGUGCUCAUAAGUUCUGAGUAUUGGAUUCAACCCGCGCUCAUUGGAAUCACUUCAUGGAUUUUAUCACGAGUGAUCAUGAGACGAUAAUAUCUUAUAUUCUUCAAACCUAGAGAUAUGAGUUGUUACUAUGAGUUGAUAGUACAUUGAUUGCACGAAAACGCAUUUGGUAACUCGGUGCUAUAAAACGUGCCUUUGUGUAUGAUUCAACAAGUAGUAGAACAAGCCAUAUGAGUCGAAGUUUAUCCAUUCCUUUUACCUUCGGGAUAAAAGCGAUAUCUGUGGGCCCCUCGAUGAUUUGAUGAUGACAAAUGGAAGUGCUCGGCCGGGCCAGGACUGAUUUGAUUUGUUCAAUUAGUCAGUCGUCAUAAAUCGGAAAUCGGGAAACAACAAAUGGACAGAGAGAAUGAUUAUAAUCCAUGUCUCAGUCCAUAUGAUAUCUAGAAUGGAGGAAUAUAUGAUCCCUUAUCUAAUGGACAAGUCAUUGACAAAGGUCAGAGUUCAUCUACAAGGUCAGAGUUCGACAGAAGCUUUUGAGAGCUACGAUUGCCAGUUGGUUCCUGAAGUCAUACGCAAUAAUAGUUUUAGACUUAUCCAAGUGGGAGACUGUUGGAUUAAUGUCUAAGUCCAUAACUAUAAUUGGUGAGACUUGACCCGACCCAGCAUGGUCCAUUUGGGUUGCAUGGCAUCAUGCAUUUGGAUAGACUAUAAUGAGAGAAAUAACACUUAAGGUUUGUUAAUAUAUUAUAAGUUCUAAUAUAUUAAUAAAAUUAUUUAAUUAGUAUUGAUCAAGAAUUAAUUUGGAAUUAAUUAAGUGAUCAAAAGGAGACUAAUUAAAUAUAUAGGUUGAUUGUGUAAAUCAUUCAUUCUUGUAUAGUGGGCUAAUGNGGAAUAAGUCCAUGGGGUGACCCAUGGAUACUCCAUGGAGAUUAAAAUCCAUGGAGCAUAUGGAAUGGGUAAAGUUAUGAGUUACAUGGUGUAACCCUAAUAGCCACCAUAUAAAAGAAUCCCAUGGCUCAAGAAAUCGGCCACUAUGUGUGAGAAUGAAGGGCUAGCCGAUUUCAUGAAGUGUGUAUGUUCUCUCAAGUCAUUCCAUGUGCAUUUGGUGUUGUGUGAACCAUUUGAGGUGUCACACUUGGGGCACUAGGCACUCAAGCUUCAUGAAGACAUUCUACAUCAAAGAGGUAUGUAAUUCUAACUUGAUAUAUUCAUUUGAAUGAAUGUUAUUAUGCUAGCUAGGAUGAAUACCUUGGCAAGUUCAUUUGCAUGUAUAAUAGAGAAAACAAAGAUCCAAGGUAUUUAGGGUUUCAUGUACACUUAGGAGUGUUAUAAUGCUCAAAACUCAUCAGGUACGUGGCAAGGUUUCCAUAUCUGAGGUACUUUCGGUCAUGAUUGUCCAGGAUAAAAUGAGCUUCAUAUUUAUUUGAGCCUUAGAGGCCAUGGUAGUUUAGAUCUAAAGGGUGCAGAUCUGUAUGAGUUUGUUGGUAUAAGGUGUCAAGACCUUGUUCAGAGUAGUCCUAGUUUGAGGCGCGAGACUCAUGAGGAAAGAGAAUGUGAUGAUCGGCUCAAGGUUUACAGCAUGUGGAUGGGUAGUUGGCUGAUGGAUUGGGAAAUCAUUCUCUACGGUGGGGUUAUUUUCUUCCAACCUCCCGUGUUCGAGGUUUGCAGCUGAAUCGGAAAUGAUUUGGCGCACUGCUCGAGCAAAUUGUUCUGCUAAAUCAGUAUCACAUCCUUCUAUGGGAAAUGGGAACAUUGGAAGUCCAGAAAAGUUUUCAACACGCAAAAGAAAGGCUAAGUCUGAGAAAGUCCCGUGUACCAUUCCAGAAGAAUCUGUAUGUUUCUACUGCCGAAAGAGGGGUCAUUGGUUACGAAGCUUCCCUAACUACCUAAGAGUUCUAAGAGAUGGGAGAGUCAAGAUGUAUGACUCUUCUUCAGGUAAAAUCCACUAUAUAACUCUAUUAAGUUCCUAUUUGGAGAUUCUAAAUACAUGAUGUGAUAAGAUUACAUUUGGUGUUUUCUAGGAUCGAAGAAAAGAGUGGAAGCUUAAAGGAAGAAGUGAAUUGAGUCUGAUCGCGAAGAAAUGGAUUUCGAUCCCAUGAUUCGAUGAACGGAUUUUUGGAGCUGCUACUUUUAGAGUUAUGAUAAAUUGCUUAGGAAUAUGUAAUAGCGUAGUUGUCAUUUGAUUUGCAUUGUAAGGACAAGUUUUUCCGCACCUUUUAUUAAUAAAAUAAAAUUUUGUUUUUGUCUUAUUUAUAUAUUUCCUUGCAAUGGCAUGAAUGAAAAAUUGACGUUUGUGUAUUUCUAGUUUUAGCAAUGUUUAAAUGGAUGUUUUAGUCACGCCGGAAGCGGGACUAAGUUCAUGGAUCACAGAUAAACUGAAUAUAUAGCACAAGUACAACGAUAAAUAAAAUAGCAUUUGUAUUCCAUCAGUAAGUUUGAAUACAGGGUUCUUACAGAUAAUAAUGGUACAGUAGUUGCCUUUAACAGAUAAGCAAAUAACAGGAACAAGCUAGCUAGGUCGUCCGCAAUCCACAACUAAUCUUCUUCCUGAAAGCCUGUCUGAUGAUCCCCUAAGAAUACAUGUAAGUUUGAAAGUCAACACAAAGGUUGGUAAGUGUCACAGGUUUUCUGCUAACACAGUAAUACUUUUAGUAAGUCUAAAAAGUAUUAUCUUUGUAUGUAUAACAACAGUUAAACAGUGUUUGCAAUGAGUCUUUAAAAGCCAAAAUGUAUAGUUUGUAUAAGUAAACCCAUACGUAAAACUGUGUUUGUAAUGAAUCUUUGAAAGCCAAAAUGUUAUGUUUCAUAAGUAAUUCNCAUUGAAGAUUGGUUGUCGAGAAUGGAUGUGAGAAAAUCGAGAUGUAUUGUCGUGAACACGGAACUCCAAGAUUAAUUUAGUUUCCUAGAAAAUUUCAAUAUAAAUUAAUAUUUGGAAAGUUAUUUGGUAUUUUAUCUAAAAUAUAAGACCCAUUUAUUAAUUUAAUUAAACUAAAACAAAUUAGUAAUUUCCAAAAAUGAGUCAAAAUAAAUUAUUUAAAUUCCAAGUUUGAUUUUGGAUUUAUUUUGUAAAGCUUUUUCCAUAUAGGGGUGGUUUUCGAACAAUUUUAUUAAAGUUAGAAGGUUUUGGACUUGAUAUGUAAAGAAAAUCCAAGAGAGGGUGAUAAGUAAUUAAUUUAAAUGAGAGUUUGAUGGGGGGUUGCUUUGUUAAAACUCUUAUAAUUUAAAGGAUUGUUUUAAUUAUUAUAACUAUGGGAAGGGAAUAAAAGCGUUUAAAAAAUAUGAAGUUUGUACAGUAACUUGCACGUUUAUGUACACAUGAGGGUAUACCUCCUGUGUUCUUCAUUUACGAUCGCAAGAAAGAAAAAAAUGCGUAGAUAAUCCUGUAACUAUUGGUAAUGCAUGAGGAUGUAAGAACCAAGCAAGAAGAUGGGAGGAGGGAUGACUUACAGAUGAAGAAUAGCAGCACAACACAUGUGGUGAUUGGUGGUUCACUGCAAUGGCAGUGGAGGUGCUCGGUGGUGAUAACAGGUAGCCGGCAGCAUCCUGCUGCCGGUUUUCCUUUCUUUUUCCGGUCAAUUCAAAGGCUGGGGGAGGUGGAGGAAGGUUGGAGAAGUUUUUCUUCGAGUUUAUAGCAGGUAAUGGUGGGGUUUUGAAGAUGGAAUAAGGCUGAUCCAGUGGUAUACCGUGAGAUAGAGAUAGAGAGUGUUUUAGAGAGAGAUAUGUAGAUCUUAGAGAUGGAGAAGAAAGCUGGAGGUUGAGGUGUGAUUUUUGGAGGUGGUCUAAGCUUCCUUUUACAGCCAAAGAAUGCCCAUACACAACACAAAUAAGCCAUACUUCCAACUCAUCAUGUACUCUCUUGGUGAAACUUGCACACCAAGAAGGAGAGGAAGAGAAGAUAUAGUCACGUGGGAUGAUACAAGCGAGGGAAAUAUCAGAUUUUUGGGAUCUUAAAUCAUAUGUGGGCCCCACAUGAGUUAUUCUCUCUUUAAUUGCCAAAAACACUGAAAACCAGGUGCCUCGGGAUCCAUGCAUUGAGAAAAUUUUUCGAGAGUACCGUUAGAUAGAGCUUAAUUCAAGGAUUUCGGAACAUCAAACGGAUUAAUUUUUGGAGUUACGGAUUUUCGAGAAAUUGCGUUUGAAGUUUUACGUCUAAACGGCUCGCGGCGUCCGUUUUCACGACUUUUGUAAAUAUUUUUGUUAAAAAUGUUUCGAGCAUGAAAUUAAAUAAUAGACUAUAACCUGAGUCCAAAAAGAUUAACAGAAAUCCCGUCGGCAAAACGUAAGUGCCUCAACGGAUCAAUUCGGUUUUAUUUGAUUAAAGAAAAAAAAAACAUUGUUUUACCGCUUGUUUUCUUAAAACUGUCGUAUCUUUUGCAUACAAACUCUGUUUUGGACGUUCUUUGUAUUUUCGGAAAUAGGUAAACACGUACUGUAGUAUUUUCAUGUUUCUUUUGCUCAAAACUGCUUAAUAUAAAAUUUCAGUUUUUCUAAUGCAUUAAUUAGCGUUGUCGUUUAAGCGGUUUGAAUCGGUUGACGGUUUACCCAUUUGGAAGUAAGGUGUCAUCUGAUAUCAUGUAAUAAUUGAAAUAUAAUUAUUUAUUUUUCAUUAGAUGCACUAAAACUCAGUAAUUCGGAUACACAAGAGAUUCACAGAUAGAUUGUCGGUUAUAAUAAUAGCCCUAAAUUUCAGGUUGUCACAUUACCUCCCUGUUAAAGGAAAUUUCGUCCUGAAAUUGAGUUGGUACUGGUAGUACAAGGGCUUUGAUAAAUAGUAAUAUAGUUUCGUGGUAUGAUCCAUGCCUGAUCCUUCUAUAUCACCUUGUGCAUACAAGUCGUAUAUAAUCAAGAUUAAGUAGACAAUCGAAUAAGUGAUUCUACUCUAAGCCCACAACCAAACAAGGAACAGGAAGUAAAGCGGAAUUACAAAUCCUAAGUCGGUAGAAUCUUAAUUAUAUAUAACCCUAACGUAUACACUUAGCAAUCAUAUAUUACCAGCAAGAGUCCUUAGUUUCUACAUGAAUGAUGUGAUUAAUUUGGGUGAGAAAGCAACUGGGGAGUACAUUUGCAAUAUCGAUAAAUAGUAAUGUACUUACGUGGUGCAUGAUCCCUGGCUGGUCCUUCUACAUUUCCUUGGUGUAUACAAGUCGUAUAUAAUCAAGAUCAAAUAGACUGUCGAAUAAGUGAUACUACCCUAAGUCCACAACCAAACAAGGAACAGGAAGUAAAGCGGAAUCACGAAUCCUAAGUCUGUAGAAUCUUAAUUAUAUACAACCCUAACGUAUUUACUUAGCAAUCGUAUAUUACUAGCAAGGGUCCUUAGUUUCUAUGUGAAUGGCAUGAUUAACUAGGGUGAUAAGGUAACUAGCAAGUACUUUUUCUGGGGACUAGCUUCAACUGAUAGGCUAAUUGCUUAGCACUAUCGAAAGUGGAGGGUUUAGAUGCCGUCACCAGACCUUGAACAGGUGAAGCUAGUCCCCAGAUGUACCUUUCGAUCUUUCCUGUCUUCCGGGGUCACCAUUCCUGGGCAAAGGUUUGCAAGGUCAUUGAAUCGAGAGGUGUAGGCAGCUACUUCUGAUCAUUUCAUGACAAGGUUGCAAAGCUCUUGCUCUAGAGCCUGUAUCUCCUGUCGGGGACAAUACUCCUUGGUCAUUAGUUGCUUCAGGGAUUCCCAGCCCAUGGCAUAAGCUUCAGCGAUUCCCAUGGACUUCGCAUGGUUAUUCCACCAAGUCAAGGCAGAGUCCAUCAACGUGCAGGUAGCGUAUUUAACCCUGUAGUCAUCAGGGAAAGCACUGAUGUGGAAGACAGCCUCAGUCUUUUCUAUCCAACGGGAUAGCCCAACAGCUCCUUUAGUGCCGUAGAAGGCUCGAGGUUUGCAGCUCAUGAAAUCCUUAUUGGAGUAGUGUCUGGUGUUACUUUGGUGAGUUGCGGGAUUGCCACUUCCACUAUUUCCAGUGUUUCCGUUUCGGGCUACCUCGUAUGCUGCCAAAGCCGUAGCAAUUCCUUGUGCGAGCAUGUUCUGCAUCAUGGUGGAAUUCAUCUGGAAUGUUUGGUUUACAUUUGUUACUUCUGGGUCUCCUCCCUGGUUUGCAGUUUCCACUAAUGUUUGAGUUACUGGUGGGGUUCUCCUUGGGUUGCCUCGGGGAGUUGGCGGUAGACGAACUCCUGGUUGCUUUCGUGGGGCCAUCUCCUAAUAUGUUUAAAACGGACAUGUUAAGUUGUGUUAAUACUAUAAAGUCCUAACAAGUAUACAUGGGAUGCAUUUGAUGAUAUAGUUUGCUUGUGAAAUCCUACAAAUUAUAAGAAAAAAAGAUUGACUAAGAAAUCCUUUAGACUUCCAAAUGAUACGGAGAAGGUGAUUGGUUUAGAAAUCCUCUAGAUUUCUAAAUGAUAGACAAGGGAUCUUAAUUGCUAAUGAAUUGUAAGUGUUUUAAAAUGUAUGUAUAGAUUCUAAGGUACUAGGUUGUUGUAGCAAAUCUGGAGAGCAUCCUACAAUCUCUAAAACCUUCAACCGUUAUAGUCUGUCAGACUCCUUGCUCAGGGUUGGUUGUGUACCGGCCUGACCAUAAAUAACAUAGGUGCACAUUCCAGAUUUAUUUAUGGUAUGACUUAUGUACGGUAUUAACCCUAAUUGAGGCGUCUGACCUAAAGGGUUGAGUUGGUAGUUUUAGUUGAAGGGAUGUUAAAAUUUUAUUAGGUGUUCUCAUCGCGGUUUAGAGUAUAUAUAAACUCUUAUAUAGUUUGGUUGGUGGGGUUUUUAGUAUUAUUAAUUUUUGUUUGUUCUUCCCGACUACCGAGCAUAGACGAUGGUCGGACAUCAAACGACGUAAGUAGUCGAGAAGUAGUGUUAUUAUUAAUAAUACUUUUAUUAAAAGCUAGUAUGCUAUAGUUGUAUUCCUCUUUCGAGGAUACAAGUUCUCUAUAGCCAAUUUGGCUCUGAUACCAUUCUGUCACACCCCCGGCCAAGUCGGAACACGCCGGAAGUGGGACUAAGUUCAUGGAUCACAGAUAAACUUAAUAUAUAGCACAAGUACAAAGAUAAACAAAAUAGCAUUUGUAUUCCAUCAGUAAGUUUGAAUACAGGGUUCUUACAGAUAAUAAUGGUACACUAGUUUCCUUUAACAGAUAAGCAAAUAACAGGAACAAGCUAGCUAGGUCGUCUGCAAUCCACGACUAAUCUUCCUCCUAAAAGCCUGUCUGAUGAUCCGGUAAGAAUACAUGUAAGUUUGAAAGUCAACACAAAGGUUGGUGAGUGUCACAGGUUUUCUGCUAACGCAGUAAUACUUUUAGUAAGUCUAAAAAGUAUUAUCUUUGUAUGUAUAACAAUAGUUAAACAGUGUUUGCAAUGAGUCCUUAAAAGCCAAAAUGUAUAGUUUGUAUAAGUAAACCCAUACGUAAAACUGUGUUUGUAAUGAAUCUUUGAAGCCAAAACGUUAUGUUCCAUAAGUAAUUCCAUACUUAAAAUUGUGUUUGAAAGCAACCAAAUCAAUGGUUGUACGGGUAACGAAGAAAGUUUUCUGCCAAGGUUGUACUUCAUAACCGUAGAUACGGAUAUACGGAUACAGUUAUCUGCCAAGUUUGAACUUAACAACCGCAGAUACGAAUAAACAACAAAUACAUUUGAUAAGCAUACACAUAAAGUGUACGAUACUAGUUUAAACAGUUGACAAAACUUAGUAUAGUGUACACAAGCACAUGUAUGAGCCUAAGAUACAAGUUCUAUAACUUGUAUAAACGUAUAAACCAAUAUAUUUUUGUCAUAAACAGACAUACAUAUAUACGGAUAAAGUUAUCUGCCAAGGUUGAACUUAACAGCCGCAGAUACGGAUAAACAUGUAAUUGACAAGUAUAUUUGAUAAGCGUACACAUUGAAGAGUAGAAUACUUGUUUUAAACAACUGAUUAAACUUUGAGUACAAGCACAUAAAUGAGCCUUAGAUACGAGUUCUAUAACUCGUAAGAAUAUAUAAACUUAUAUAUUUUUGUGUAUCUAUGAGGUAUAAUGAAACUACCAAGUUGAUAACCGGCUAUAGUGUCAUAGCACAAUUUUAGUCGGAACGUAUAUGUUAUUUUUAUUAGUUGUAUUAUCUUAACAACAUAACAUAUGUAGCUAUUGAGGUUUAAAACGAUUUUGUUUACUUAACAUGUAAGCGUUUAAAUAAUUAUUUCUAAAACCGAUAAAGUAUUUACACAAAACAAUGAUAUUUUUUUGUUUGUGAAUUUCGUAUGAUAAAUAUUACUUAGUACACGUACUAUCAUGUACAUACGAGGGCCAAACAUGAAACACCGAGGACAGUACCAUUUUGGCAUUAUAGCACUUCUGAAAUGCAGCAACCCAUUCGGCCCUUCAAACCAGAUUCCCCGUACCGUAAGUAGUAGAGUAAUAAAUAAUAUUUUUGUGUGAUUUAUAUUGCAUAAAAAAACGGUGGUGUUGUUUGUUUAAACAAAGUAUUUAGAAAAUAGAUAUAUACUAGAUAUACAAGUACUACAUGUAUUCUCAGCCGAAAAUAUGUAAAAAUGGGGCCGUAACACUCACCUUAAACUGCCAUUAAAGAUUGGUUUUCGAGAACGGAUGCGAGCAAACCGAGAUGUAUUGUCGUGAACACAGAACUCCAAGAUAAAUUUAAUUAAACUAAAACAAAUUAGUAAUUUCCAAAAAUGAGUCAAAAUAAAUUAUUUAAAUUCUAAGUUUGAUUUUGGAUUUAUUUUGUAAAGGUUUUUCCAUAUAGGGGUGGUUUUUGAACAAUUUUAUUAAAGUUAGAAGGUUUUGGACUUGAUAUGAAAAGAAAAUCCAAGAGAGGGUGAUAAGUAAUUAAUUUAAAUGAGAGUUUGAUGGGGGGCUGCUUUGUUAAAACUCUUAUAAUUUAAAGGAUUGUUUUAAUUAUUCUAACUAUGGGAAGGGACUAAAAGCGUUUAAAAAAAAUAAAGUUUGUACAGUAAGUUGCACGUUUACGUACACAUGAGGGUAUACCUCCUGUGUUCUUCAUUUACGAUCGCAAGAAAGAAGAAAAUGCGUAGAUGAUCCUGUAACUAUCGGUAAUGCAUGAGGAUGUAUGAACCAAGCAAGAAGAUGGGAGGACGGAUGACUUAGAGAUGAAGAAUAGCAGCACAACACAGGUGGUGACUGGUGGUUCACUGCAAUGACAGUGGAGGUGCUCGGUGGUGAUAACAGGUAGCCGGCAGCAUCCUGCUGCCGGUUUUCCUUUUUUUUCCAGUAAAUUUAAAGGCUGGGGGAGGUGGAGGAAGGCUGGAGAAGAGUUUCUUUGAGUUUACAGCAGGUAAUGGUGGGGUUUUGAAGACGGAAUAAGGGUGCUGCAUUGGUAUACCGUGAGAUAGAGAUAGAGAGUGUUUUAGAGAGAGAUAUGGAGAUCUUAGAGAUGGAGAAGAAAGCUGGAGGUUGAGGUGUGAUUUUUGGAGGUGGUCUAAGCUUCCUUUUAUACCCAAGAAUGCCCACACACAACACAAGUAAGCCAUACUUCCAACUCAUCAUGUACUCUCUUCGUGAAACUUGCACACAAAGAAGGAGAGGGGGAGAAGAUAUAGUCACGUGGGAUGAUACAUGGGAGGGAAAUAUCAGAUUUUUGGGCUCUUAAGUCAUAUGUGGGCCCCACAUGGGUUAUUCUCUCUUUUAAUUGCUCAAAACACUGAAAACCGGGUGCCUCGGGAUCCGUGCAUUGAGAAUAAUUUUCGAGAGUACCGUUAGAUAGAGUUUAAUUCAAGGAUUUCGGAGCAUCAAACGGAUUAAUUUUGGAGUUACGCAUUUCCAGGAAAUUGCGUUUGAAGUUUUAUGUCUAAACGGCUCGUGGUGUCCGUUUUCACGACUUUUGCAAAUAUUUUUGUUAAAAAUGUUUCGAGCAUGAAAAUAAAUAAUACACCAUAACCUGAGUCCAAAAAGGUUAACGGAAAUCCCGUCAGCAAAACGUAAGUACCUCAACGGAUCAAUUCGGUUUUAUUUGAUUAAAGAAAAAAAACAGUGUUUUACCGCUUGUUUUCUUAAAACUGUCGUAUCUUUUGCAUACAAACUCUGUUUUGGACGUUCUUUGUAUUUUUGGAAACAGGUAAACACGUACUGUAAUAUUUUCAUGUUUCUUUUGCUCAAAACUGCUUAAUAUAAAAUUUCAGUUUUUCUAAUGCAUUAAUUAGCGUUUUCGUUUAAGCAGUUUGAUUCGGUUGACGGUUUACCCAUUUGGAAGUAAGGUAUCAUCUAAUAUCAUGUAAUAAUUGAAAUAUAAUUAUUUAUUUUUCAUUAGAUGCACUAAAACUCAGUAAUUCGGAUACACAAGAGAUUCACGGAUAGAUUGUCGGUUAUAAUAAUAGCCCUAAAUUUCAGGUUGUCACAUUACCUCCCCGUUAAAGGAAAUUUCGUCCUGAAAUUGAGUUGGUAUUGGUAGUACAAGGGCUCUGAUAAAUAGUAAUAUGGUUUCGUGGUAUGAUCCAUGCCUGGUCCUUCUAUAUCACCUUGUGCAUACAAGUCGUAUAUAAUCAAGAUUGAGUAGACAAUCAAAUAAGUGAUUCUACUCUAAGCCCACAACCAAACAAGGAACAGGAAGUAAAGCGGAAUCACAAAUCCUAAGUCGGUAGAAUCUUAAUUAUAUAUAACCCUAACGUAUACACUUAGCAAUCAUAUAUUACCAGCAAGAGUCCUUAGUUUCUACAUGAAUGAUGUGAUUAACUCGGGUGAGAAAGCAACUGGGGAGUACAUUUGGAAUAUCGAUAAAUAGUAAUGUACUUACGUGGUGCAUGAUCCCUGGCUGGUCCUUCUACAUUUCCUUCGUGUAUACAAGUUGUAUAUAAUCAAGAUCGAAGAGACUGUCGAAUAAGUGAUUCUACCCUAAGCCCACAACCAAACAAGGAACAGGAAGUAAAGCGGAAUCACGAAUACUAAGUCUGUAGAAUCUUAAUUAUAUACAACCCUAACGUAUACAUUUAGCAAUCGUAUAUUACUAGCAAGGGUCCUUAGUUUCUAUGUGAAUGGCAUGACUAACUAGGGUGAUAAGGUAACUAGCAAGUACUUUUUGUUAUAGCUACUGUGUAGGUUUCAUUAAGUUUCCGAAAUUUUAUAUUAUGUCACAUGUUGAAACCUAUGGUCGAUAAAGAUUUAAUUGGCACUAGUAUUAGUAAAUACCUAGGUCUAAACAUUGUUGUUAUGAAACGUACCAAUAACCACAGGUGGUUCUGGAAGAGCCUCUUCUGCUGUGAUCAUAAAUACCCUUCCAUUGCCACCUUGGUUCUUUAGUUGUGGGAAGUCCUUCCUAAAAUUCCCUGGUUGAUUGCACUCGUAACAGUUACGACUUCCUUCUGCCGUAGUGGUUGGGGUUCUUCUAUAGUACCUCGAGAUGUGACCUCUCAUGUUACACUUGUUGCAGAUCACCUCCCUGCAAUUUCCGACAUGGUGGAAAUUGCACUUUGUACAAUGAGGUAAAGUCCCAGAGUAGGACUUAGUUGGUGUGGGAGUAUUGGUAACUGUGGCGUAGACAGCUAACAGUUCUGGUUCAAACUUGUGAUGCAUGGAGUCCUCCUUUGUUUCCCCAUGAAACUAUCUUUUGGUGCCUCCAGUGUGCUUCUUCUCUGCUGGUGGGGUUAUGGUACCCUGCCGGACACACUGUUUAGUCAACUGAUAGGCUAAUUGCUUAUCACUAUCGAAAGUGGAGGGUUUGGAUGCCGUCACCAGACCUUGAACAGGUGAAGCUAGUCCCCAGAUGUACAUAGUCCCCAGAUGUACCUUUCGAUCUUUCCUGUCUUUCGGGGUCACAAUUCCUUGGCAAAGGGUUGCAAGGUCAUUGAAUCGAGAGGUGUAGGCAGCUACUUCUGAACAUUUCAUGACAAGGUUACAAAGCUCUUGCUCUAGAUCCUGUAUCUCCUGUCGGGGACAAUACUCCUUGGUCAUUAGUUGCUUCAGGGAUUCCCAACCCAUGGCAAAAGCUUCAGCGAUUCCCAUGGACUUCGCAUGGUUAUUCCACCAAGGCAAGGCGGAGUCCAUCAACGUGCAGGUAGCGUAUUUAACCCUACAGUCAUCAGGGCAAGCACUCAUGUGGAAGACAGCCUUAGUCUUUUCUAUCCAACGGGAUAGCCCAACAGCUCCUUCAGUGUCGUACAAGCCUCGAGGUUUGCAGCUCAUGAAAUCCUUAUAGGAGCAGUGUCUGGUGUUGCUUAGGUGAGUUGUGAGAUUGCCACUUCCACUAUUUCCAGUGUUUCCGUUUCGGGCUACCUCGUAUGCUGCCAAAGUCGUAGCAAUUCCUUGUGUGAGCAUGUUCUGCAUCAUGGUGGAAUUCAUUUGGAAUGUUUGGUUUACAUUUAUUACUUCUGGGUCUCCUCCCUGGUUUGGAGUUUCCACUGAUGUUUGAGUUACUAGUGGGGUUCUCCUCGGGUUGCCUCGGGGAGUUGGCGGUAGACGAACUCCUGGUUGCUUUCGUGGGGCCAUCUCCUAAUAUGUUUAAAACGGACAUGUUAAGUUGUGUUAAUACUAUAAAGUCCUAACAAGUAUGCAUGGGAAGCAUUUUAUGAUAUAGUUUGCUUGUGAAAUCCUACAAAUUAUAAGAAUAAAGGAUUGACUUAGAAAUCCUUUAGAUUUCCUAAUGAUACGGAGAAGGUGAUUGGUUUAGAAAUCCUCUAGAUUUCUAAAUGAUAGACAAGGGACCUUAAUUGCUAAUGAAUUGUAAGUGUUUUAAAAUGUAUGUAUAGAUUCUAAGGUACUAGGUUGCUGUAGCAAAUAUGGAGAACAUCCUUCAAUCUCUAAAACCUUCAACCGUUAUAGUCUGUCAGACUCCUUGCUCAGGGUUGAUAGUGUACCGGCCUAACCAUAAACAACAUAGGUGCGCAUGCCAGAUUUAUUUAUGGUAUGACUUAUGUACGGUACUAACCCUAAUUGAGGCGUCUGACGUAAAGGGUUGAGUUGGUAGUUUUAGUUGAAGGGAUAGUAAAAUUUUAUUAAGUGUUCUCAUCGCGGGUCAGAUUAUAAAUAAACUCUUAAAUAUUUUGGUCGGUGGGGUUUAUAGUAUUAUUAAUUUUUGUUUGUUCUUCUCGACUACCGAGCACAGACGAUUACCGGACAUGAAACGACAUAAGUAGCUGAGAAGUAGUGUUAUUAAUAAUAAUACUUUUAUUAGAAGCUAGUAUGCUAUAGUUGUAUUCCUGUUUCAAGGAUACGAGUUCUCUAUAGCCAAUUUGGCUCUGAUACCAUUUUGUCACACCCUCGGCCAAGGCGGAACACGCCGGAAGCGGGACUAAGUUCAUGGAUCACAGAUAAAAUGAAUAUAUAGCAUAAGUACAAUGAUAAACAAAAUAGCAUUUGUAUUCCAUCAGUAAUUUUGAAUAUAGGGUUCUUACAGAUAAUAAUGGUUCAGUAGUUGCCUUUAACAAAUAAGAAAAUAACAGGAACAAGCUAGCUAGGUCGUCUGCAAUCCACGACUAAUCUUCUUCCUAAAAGCCUGUCUGAUGAUCCGCUAUGAAUACAUGUAAGUUUGAAAGUCAACACAAAGGUUGGUGAGUGUCACAGGUUUUCUGCUAACGCAGUAAUACAUUUAGUAAGUCUAAAAAGUAUUAUCUUUGUAUGUAUAACAAUAGUUAAACAAUGUUUGCAAUGAGUCCUUAAAAGCCAAAAUGUAUAGUUUGUAGAAGUAAACCCAUACGUAAAACUGUGUUUGUAAUGAAUCUUUGAAGCCAAAACGUUAUGUUCCAUAAGUAAUUCCAUACUUAAAAUUGUGUUUGAAAGCAACCAAAUCCAUGGUUGUAUGGGUAACGAAUAAAGUUUUAUGCCAAGGUUGUACUUCAUAACCGCAGAUACGGAUAAAUAAAUAUACGGAUAUACAGAUAUAGUUAUCUGCCAAGGUUGAACUUAACAACCGUAGAUACGGAUAAACAACAAGUAUAUUUGAUAAGCAUACACAUAAAGUGUACGAUACUAGUUUAAACAGUUGAAAAAACUUAGUAUAGUGUACAGAAGCACAUGUAUGAGCCUAAGAUACAAGUUCUAUAACUUGUAUAAACGUAUAAACCAAUAUAUUUUUGUCAUAAACAGACAUACGGAUAUACGGAUAAAGCUAUCUGCCAAGGUUGAUAUUAACAACCGCAGAUACGGAUAAACAGGUAAUUGACAAGUAUAUUUGAUAAGCGUACACAUUGAUGAGUACAAUACUUGUUUUAAACAACUUAUUCAACUUUGAGUACAAGCACAUAAAUGAGCCUAAGAUACGAGUUCUAUAACUCGUAAGAAUAUAUAAACUUAUAUAUUUUUGUGUAUGUAUGAGGUAUAAUGAAACUACCAAGUUGAUAACCGGCUAUAGUGUCAUAGCACAAUUUUAGUCGGAACGUAUAUGUUAUUUUUAUUAGUUGUAUUAUCUUAACAACAUAACAUAUGUAGCUAUUGAGGUUUAAAACGAUUUUGUUUACUUAACAUGUAAGCGUUUAAAUAAUUAUUUCUAAAACCGAUAAAGUAUUUACACAAAACAAUGAUAUUUUUUUGUUUGUGAAUUUCGUAUGAUAAAUAUUACUUAGUACACGUACUAUCAUGUACAUACGAGGGCCAAACAUGAAACACCGAGGACAGUACCAUUUUGGCAUUAUAGCACUUCUGAAAUGCAGCAACCCAUUCGGCCCUUCAAACCAGAUUCCCCGUACCGUAAGUAGUAGAGUAAUAAAUAAUAUUUUUGUGUGAUUUAUAUUGCAUAAAAAAACGGUGGUGUUGUUUGUUUAAACAAAGUAUUUAGAAAAUAGAUAUAUACUAGAUAUACAAGUACUACAUGUAUUCUCAGCCGAAAAUAUGUAAAAAUGGGGCCGUAACACUCACCUUAAACUGCCAUUAAAGAUUGGUUUUCGAGAACGGAUGCGAGCAAACCGAGAUGUAUUGUCGUGAACACGGAACUCCAAGAUAAUUUUAGUUUCCUAGAAAAUUUCAAUAUAAAUUAAUAUUUGGAAAGUUAUUUGGUAUUUUAUCUAAAAUAUAAGACCCAUUUAUUAAUUUAAUUAAACUAAAACAAAUUAGUAAUUUCCAAAAUGAGUCAAAAUAAAUUAUUUAAAUUCUAUGUUUGAUUUUGGAUUUAUUUUGUAAAGGUUUUUCCAUAUAGGGGUGGUUUUUGAACAAUUUUAUUAAAGUUAGAAGGUUUUGGACUUGAUAUGUAAAGAAAAUCCAAGAGAGGGUGAUAAGUAAUUAAUUUAAAUGAGAGUUUGAUGGGGGGCUGCUUUGUUAAAACUCUUAUAAUUUAAAGGAUUUUUUUAAUUAUUCUAACUAUGGGAAGGGACUAAACGCGUUUAAAAUAAUAAAGUUUGUACAGUAACUUGCACGUUUACGUACACAUGAGGGCAUACCUCCUGUGUUCUUCAUUUACGAUCGCAAGAAAGAAAAAAAUGCGUAGAUGAUCCUGUAACUAUCGGUAAUGCAUGAGGAUGUAUGAACCAAGCAAGAAGAUGGGAGGAUGGAUGACUUACAGAUGAAGAAUAGCAGCACAACACAUGUGGUGACUGGUGGUUCACUGCAAUGGCAGUGUAGGUGCUCGGUGGUGAUAACAGGUAGCCGACAGCAUCCUGCUGCCGGUUUUCCUUUUUUUUCCGGUAAAUUCAAAGGCUGGGGGAGGUGGAGGAAGGUUAGAGAAGAGUUUCUUCGAGUUUACAGCAGGUAAUGGUGAGGUUUUGAAGAUGGAAUAAGGGUGGUGCAGCGGUAUACCGUGAGAUAGAGAUAGAGAGUGUUUUAGAGAGAGAUAUGGAGAUCUUAGAGAUGGAGAAGAAAGCCGGAGGUUGGGGUGUGAUUUUUGGAGGUGGUCUAAGCUUCCUUUUAUAGCCAAGAAUGCCCACACACAACACAAAUAAGCCAUACUUCCAAAUCAUCAUGUACUCUCUUGGUGAAACUUGCACACAAAGAAGGAGAGGGGGAGAAGAUAUAGUCACGUGGAAUGAUACAAGGAAGCGAAAUAUCAGAUUUUUGGGCUCUUAAGUCAUAUGUCGGCCCCACAUGGGUUAUUCUCUUUUUUAAUUGCCCAAAACAUUGAAAACCGGGUGCCUCGGGAUCCGUAUAUUGAGAAAAAUUUUCGAGAGCACCGUUAGAUAGAGUUUAAUUCAAGGAUUUCGGAACAUCAAACGGAUUAAUUUUUGGAGUUACGGAUUUCCGGGAAAUUGCGUUUGAAGUUUUACGUCUAAACGGCUUGCGGUGUCCGUUUUCAAGACUUUUGUAAAUAUUUUUGCUAAAAAUGUUUCGAGCAUGAAAUAAAAUAAUAGACUAUAACCUAAGUCCAAAAAGGUUAACGGAAAUCCCGUCGGCAAAACGUAACCUCAACGGAUCAAUUCAGUUUUAUCUGAUUAAAGAAAAAAAACAGUGUUUUACCACUUUUUUUCUUAAAACUGUCGUAUCUUUUGCAUACAAACUCUGUUUUGGACGUUCUUUAUAUUUUUGGAAACAGGUAAACACGUACUGUAAUAUUUUCAUGUUUCUUUUGCUCAAAACUGCUUAAUAUAAAAUUUCAGUUUUUCUAAUGCAUUAAUUAGCGUUUUCGUUUAAGCGGUUUGAUUCGGUUGACGGUUUACCCAUUUGGACGUAAGGUAUCAUCUGAUAUCAUGUAAUAAUUGAAAUAUAAUUAUUUAUUUUUCCUUAGAUGCACUAAAACUCAGUAAUUCUGAUACACAAGAGAUUCACAGAUAGAUUGUCGGUUAUAAUAAUAGCCCUAAAUUUCAGGUUGUCACAAUAGAAACUUGGAAUCAUACACCUUGUAUUGUAUGAUGAAUGAGAACCUUCAUAUCUAGAAAACUUAAGACUAAUUCCUUGACAAAGAAUCAAGUGAAGGACUGGGAGAACUGGUACACAAUGUUGUGCACUGGUCAAGUCCACCACAAAGAACGAUAAAAUUAUUCGUUAUGAUUUACUAAAAGUCUAGUAAAUGUGGUUAUGCUUAUAAGAUUAAGUGUGAUUCUAAAUCAUUGAAAAGUUUCAAUGUAUGACAGAACGAAUAAGAAGAAUCAAUUAGGCAGAAAGAUAAAAGUUUCUCCAAUCUAAGAAGAAGGGUGAGUACUUUUGUAUCGGGUUUUAUGAUCGUCUUGUUGAUUAUGAAACCAUAUCACAAUUAAUCAUCUAAGGACAUCUUAGUGCACUAGUAUGGCUAAGAAGAGGAAUUGAAAAUUGUUGAAAUGGUUAAAAGGAUGAGUCAUACUUCGUUCCAAAAAUCAAGUUUUAGAGUCGUACUCCAAGAUUGUGAAUUGAGUGACACGUCUUAAGAAGUUCUAGCACACUCAUCAAAUGUGAAGUAGAAAAUUGUUUUUUUACUCUUGCACGUUUCAAAUUGGUAAAUUGUGAUGUAUUGAUUAAGACAAAAGACCAACAAAUGCCAAUUGUGUGUAGUGUUUGUCUUGAUAAGAAUCCACACUAACUCUUGAAUGUUUGUUUGUCAAGAAAUGUUUUUUUGACAAAAGAAUCUUAUAUGUCAAGAGGUCAGUGGGAGUCUAAAUGAUCUUGAAAAGUUUCAAGACAUAAUCAAGAGUAAACCUAUUAUUAAACACUAGCACACGACUUGGGUUUGUAACCUAUCGUGUUGACGUAUUCUUGUUUCUGUGCCAAUCCAGUUGAAGUGAUUAUGCAUAUGUGUUCUACGAGUUCUCAAUAGACUGCAUAUGGCAAGCACCUUGUUCAAUGAAAGUACAUUGACUAAUAAUAUCUUGGAAGCAGUGGUGGGACCCUUGAUGGCAAGAAAUCAAGAAUGAACAAGUUCUGUCCAUUGGAGUUUGGAUUUGUCACAAACAUUAUCCUACGAUUAUGGUUAUGGCAAAUUCACAUGGAUAUGAGCAUAUACACUAUAAAAUCUAAGUGUCAUAAGGUUUAUCUCCUUCAUGAAAAUGAUUGUGAGGAAACGCUUUCACUAAGAGAGAUUUUAAGAAGAUAUCAAUUGUGUGGAUUGCAUGCUCAAAUUCGAUUAUAAUUACGGCAUCCCUCUUGAUAGUUCGAAUUGUGAGAUUUGGCGAUUAGUCUGAACAUUUUGGGACUUAGUAAUAUAAGUUAUGAAUCAGUUUAGACACACAUGUGAGUAAUCUAAGGAGAGGUGUAUAAGUUUGAGAUGCUCAGAUAAAGGCUUAUCAAAGCAUAUUGUAUUAGGAAAAUGAACUUUGGAAAUUAAUAAGUAUUGUUUUCUAAGAAGUUUAGUUGAGUUCUGAGCUAGUGGGAGCAUAAAUGUUAUGUUGGAAUGGAUAUAAUCAUCAUGUUAGUGGGAGCAUGAUUAUUAUUUUGCAAGUUAGUAAUAUUAAUUAUGUAGAAAACAAAAGGUUUCACUUUGCAAAGUUGCAGGGGUUGAAAAGUUGUUUCGCUAUAAUUAAGGGAGAGAAUGAUAUACUUUGUUUCGAAAUCUAAAAGCUUAGAUCGAGAAAUUUUAUUCAAUUUUAGUCGAGGAUAUAUUAAUUGCAUCCUCAAAUUUCGAUUAUGAUUACAAAAUCCCUCUUCAUAGUUCGAAUUUUGAGAAUGUGGCAAAUAGAAAUAUUAUAGCAAAUGGCUGAUAAAGUAUCAUGUUUUAUGUAAGACAUUAUGAAUUGUGUCCCAUACGCUUCUAGUAUAGGAUCGAUUGCAUAUGUUGUAAUAUUUAACCGUUCUAAAAUUUUCCAAAUGCCUAGGGAAUUAAGAAGGAAAAAGGACUAGAACCAUAAUUGACUAAAAUAAUUAAACAACUGUCAAGGACAGUCCAAGGUUUGCCAAUGAUUGGUCGCUUGUGGACAGUUGGAAGUAUACUAAUGGAUGGACCAUAUUCGCUUUAUUAUGAAUAGAUAAGACUCUAUUUAGAAUGAGUUGUCAUAUGGUAAAUAUGGAAAUGUUUCCAUAUUGGGAGUUGGGCGUUAAAAAUUGAUGUCUAGAUUAGAAACUUUUAUAAAAGAAGGAUGUUCAAAGGAAUGUACUUUGAAUGUGAGACUUCACAUCUAUGGAAUUGUCUUGUAAGAAUCUCCAAUAGAGCAUUUUGUAAUUUCAUUGGCCGAAUCUUUGUGACUUUUGUGUCGUGACAUUACGAAAGGACCGUUGCAUAAAAUGUUAGAAUCUAACAUAUUCUAGUAGUGGCGAGAAUUUUGUAUUCUUACACUAAUAAUUAGAAAUUGUGAAAUGAGCAUCAUUGUAAAUGUGUUUACUUGAUCUAUUUCACAAAGUAAGAACCAUAGGUAAACAUAGUGUGCAUGUUUGGAGCAUGGGACAACUAUUGUUAUAAUUCAAGUAAGAAGUUGAUUACCCGAAACAAAAAAUAAUGAGUAAUCAAUAUGGUGAUUAAAUAAAAGUGUUUUAUUUAUACUCAAAGGUUUGAGGCCAUAUAAUAUUAGUAUUAUUCUUGUGUUUCACUUUGCAUCUUUUGACUUCCCGAAUAAUUAGAUUAUUUAAACCAUCGACAGUCGCUAAUGCUUUGGAAGUAGGUAAGAAAGAAGGCUGUCAUGAAAUGGCUUGCAGAUUGUCUAAAGUGUAUUAGACAUAGCAAAAGUUUGAUGCGACAUUCAUGAGUACUUAUGAAUUAUUAUUUGAGUAUUGGAUUAAACCCACGCUCACUUGAAUCACUACAUAGAUUUUAUCAUGGGUCAUUAGUGAGACGAUAAUAUCUUAUAUUCUUGAAAUCGAUAUGUGUGAGUUGUAUUCUGUAAGUCUGUUGCUCAUUCAUAAUAUGUAAACGCACCAGUAACUUGGUGUUAUAAAACAUAUUGUUGUGCAUAAUUUGAUGAGUAUGUAUAAGUGAGCAUUUGAGUCGAAGUUUAUCCGUUCCUUUUCCCAAAGUGGGAUAAAAGCGAUAUCUGUGGGCCCCUCGAUGGUUUAGUGAUGACACCCUAAGCGCUUGGCCAAGCCAAGACUAAGUUGAUGUGUUCAAUUGUAGUCUGUUGUCAGUCGUCGUAAAUUAGAAAUCGUGAAACAACACAUAGACUGAGAGAUUGAUUAUAAUCCGUCUAUCAUGUCUAUACGAUAUAUAGAAUGGAGGAAUAUAUGAUCCCUUAUCUAAAGGACAUGUUGCUGAUAAGACCAGAGUUCGACAGCGUCUUUGAGAGCUACGAUUGUUAAUCGGUUAAAACUUUCAUUUAUAGUUACUAGACUUAUCCAAGUGGGACACUGUUAGAUUAGUGUCUAAGCCCAUAACUAUAUUGGUAACUGUUUGACCCAGUUGUGCAUGGUCCUUUUGGGUCGCGUUCACCAAAGCAACUAGAUAGGAUGAUUUAUGGAGAGAGAGAGAGAGGUUAUUAUAGAUUAUUAAUAUAUUAUAUGAAUAAUAUAUUAAAGGAGAAAUCAUAUUGUUUAAUUAAUAUUAGACAUGAGUUAAUUAAGAAUUAAUUAUGUGGCUAAAAGACAUUAAUUAAAUAAAGGGGACUAGAACUGUCAAUUGUGUGAUAGUUGAAUAUUGGGCUAAUGGACUCCAUAGAAGUUGGAGUUGAUGAAAUCUAUGGGGAAACCCAUUAGAAUUCAUCCAAGGCCUCUAAGUACGGAGUCCAUGGGCUGCUUAGGGCCUAAGCAGUCAAAUUAGGGUUUCCUAGUUCAAACCCCUAAUAACCUCACUAUAUAAGGAACCCCUAAGGCCCCAACAACGUGUGGAAGUAAUCCCUAAGGGUUCUUAGUCGUUUUUGGUUCUCCUCCUUCCUCUCAUAAGUCAUUCUCUUGCUUGUGGUGUUUGUAAGCCGUUAGAGGAGUGACACUUGUGACUCUAAGCUCCAAAGACAAGAAGAUUCAAGCCAUUGAAGAAGAGGUAAUCAUCUAGAUCUUUUUUCUUAUGUCUAUUUCGAAAUAUAUCACUAGAUCUAUGUUUCAUAAGUCUUGGAUGAAUUCCAUGUAGAAUAGAGAAACCUAGAUCCAAGGUUUAGCGUUUGCAUGAGCACAUAGGAUGUUCUUUUGUAUAAAACCCAUCAGUUAUCGUCUUGCGAUCACUCGUGAUAAAUUCCAUGAAGUGAUGCCAGCAAGCGCGGGAUUCAUCCAAUGCUCAAAUCAUAGAGUAAAUUACACGAAUGGUCCCUAUGGUUUAGGGUAAUUUGCACGUUUGGUCCCUAACUUAUUUUUUUAACUCGGAAGGUCCCUACUGUUUGCUUCUGUUACGCGCUUGGUCCUUGUCUUACCUAAAAAGUCUAUUUUACCCUUGAUUUUUUAAUUUAUUUAUAUAAACACACCCCGACCCUCACCUUAUCUUACAUACCCCACCAUUUUUCCUAUUUAAAUAGCAGUCUUUUUAGGUAAGAAAGGGACCAAACGCGUAACAAAAACAACCAGUAGGGACCAACUCUAUAACAAAAACAAACAGUAGGGACCUUCCGAGUUUAAAAAAUAAGUUAGGGACCCAACGCGCAAAUUACUCCAAACCAUAGGGACCAUUCUUCUAAUUUACUCCAAAUCAUAUUCAUAAGCACUCAUAAACGUUGCAGCAAACCUUUGCUAUGUCUAAUACACUUUAGACAAUCUACAAACCAAUGCAUGACAAUCUUCAUUCAUACAUACUCCCAAAGUAUGAGCGACUGUGGAACGUUCGAAUAAUCUUAUUAUUCAGGAAGUCAAAACAUGCAAAGUGAAACAAUAGGUAAACAAUUAACAUAAGACAAUAACUUUACUUAUAAAUAAUACUCCUUUAUUUAAUCGUCAAAUGUCAAUUACAUUUAUCCAUUACAUGUUUCGAAGCUAUCUAAUCUAAACUAAUAUCAUCCUUCAGCCCGAUGCUCCAAGCGUGUUGAUAGUGCUUAACCCUACUCAGUCCCUUCAUAAGGGGAUCUACUGGGUUAUCCUCUGACGAUACCCUCUUCACUACGAGGAUUCCCUCUUCCAGCCGAUGUCGAAUAAAAUGAUAUUUCCUGUCAAUAUUUCGAGAUCUACCAUGAUACCUCGGUACCUUGGUCAAGGCAUCCGCUCCUUCAUUAUCACAGUAAAUUUCCAUGGGCUCCUUUAUGUUUGACACAACACCAAGGUCUCCGAUGAAGUUCUUCAACCAUAUCACUAUAUACUCUAAUUUUCACGUUGAAUCAACUACGGUUUCCUGCUUAGAACUUUUCCAAGUCACUAAUCCUCCAUUUAGGGUAAAGACCCAGCCUGACUGCAAACGGUAGUUGUCCCUGUCGGUCUGAAAACUGGCGUCACUAUACCCUCGCACCCUGAAGUCAUCACUCCCACCAAGGACUAGAAACCAUUCCUUGGUCCUCUGAAGGUACUUAAAAAUAUUCUUGAUUGCGGUCCAAUGUGCUUUGCCAGGGUUCCCUUGAUAUUUUUUGACCAUGCUUAAAGCGAAGGCCACAUUAGGGCGAGUACAAGUCAUCGCAUACAUGAUCGAGCCAACUGCAGAAGCGUAAGGUACUAAGCUCAUCUCUGCUAUCUCGACUUCAGUACUCAGACUUUGAGUCUUACUCAACUUGGCAUUUCUUUGGUUCGGUAACUCCCCUUUCUUGGAAUUCUCCAUAAUAUUGACCAUGCUCAAAGCGAAGGUCACAUCUGGGCGAGUACAAGUCAUAGCAUACAUGAUUGAGCCAACUGUGGAAGCAUAAGGUACUUGGCUCAUCUUUGCUAUCUCAACUUCGGUACUCGGGCUCUGAGUCUUACUCAACCUGGCAUUGCUUUUGGAUCGGUAACUCCCCUUUCUUGGAAUUCUCCAUACUAAAAUGUUUCAGUACCUUGUCCAAGUAAGUAUUCUGGCUAAGUCCUAUCAGACUUUUACUCCUGUUUCUCACUAUCCUUAUUCCCAAAAUAUAGGCAGCUUCUACGAGGUCCUUCAUAGAGAAAAACUUCCCAAGCGAGGACUUAAUUUCCUGCAACGUCGGUACGUCGUUUCCUAUGAGUAGUAUGUCAUCUACAUACAAUAUGAGGAAGCUAACUAUACUCCCACUGGCUUUGACAUAUACACAUGAUUCAUCCUCUCUUUGCAGAAAACCAAAAUCUUUGACUUUCUCAUCGAAACAAAGAUUCCAUUGGUGAGACGCUUGUUUCAAUCCAUAGAUGGACUUCUCAAGCUUACACACUCUAUUUUGGUGCUUUGCAUCGACAAAACCCUCUGGCUGACUCAUGUAAACAUCCCCAGCCAACUUUCUAUUAAGGAAAGCAGUUUUAACAUCCAUCUGCCAUAUCUCAUAGUCAUGAAAUGCGGAAAUGGCUAGCAUCACCCUAAUAGACAUUAUCUUCGUAACUGGUGAGAAGGUCACAUCAUAGUUAACUUCAGGAGUUUGAGUAAAGCCCUUCGCAACCAAUCGCGCCUUAUAGGUGUGUACCUUCCCAUCCAUGUCGGUCUUCUUCUUGAAGAUCCACUUGCACCCGACCGUCUUACGACCUGGCACAUUGUCAACCAAAUUCCAAACUUGGUUGUCAUACAUGGACUGAAUCUUGCUUUCAAUAGCCUCUUUCCAUUUCGUAGACUCCGGGCCUGGCACGGCUUACUUGUAGCUAUUAUGUGUUGGAUUAAUGUCUAAGUCCAUAACUAUAAUUGGUAAGACUUGACCCGACACAACAUGGUCCAUUUGGGUUGCAUGGCAUCAUGCAGUUGGAUACACUAAAUGAGGAAUAAGACACUUAUGGUUAUUAAUAUAGUAUAAGUUCUUGUAUAUUAAUAAUAAUAAUAAUAUUUAAUUAGUAUUGAUCAAGAAUUAAUUUAGAAUUAAUUAUGUGAUCAAAAGAAGACUAAUUAAAUAUAUGGGUUGAUUGUGCAAAUCAUCCAUAACUUAUAUAAUGGGCCAAAGCUCCAUGGAUAAUCAAGUUGGGUUAAACCCAUAGGAUGCUCCAUGGAUGCUCCAUGGAGGUUACAUAACCCAUGGGUCAUGGAAAUGAAAGGUCAUAACAAUUAGGGUUUACAUGGUGUAACCCUAAUUGUAACACACUAUAUAAGCAUCAUAUUAUUCACCAAAAUCGGCCAUUAGUGUGUGUAAAAGAAGGGCUAGCCGAUUUCAUGAGUUGUGGAUUUCUCUCAAGUUAUUCCAAGUGUAUUUGGUGUUGUGUGAACCAUUUGAGGUGUCACACUUAAGGCACUAGGCACUCAAGCUUCAUGAAGACAUUCUACAUCAAAGAGGUAUGUAUUCUAUCUUGUUAUAUUCAUGAUUUUGUAUGCUAGAUCAGGAUAAUACCUUGGAUGUUCAUAAUUUCAUGUAUAAUAGAGAAAACACAGAUCCAAGCCAUUUAGAAUUGCAUGUACACUUAGGAGUGUUAGAAUGCUCAAAACCCAACAGUGGUAUUAAAGACUAGGCUUGUUUUCUUGUUAUACUUGCAAAACUACUUUAAAAAUCGAAGUUUUUGCUGUCUGGGCAUCAGACUCGGUGAGUCCAUGCCUAAAAAGUGAUCAAAACGAUCCAAAUCACCGAGUUGGUUCAUGCACUCAACGAGUUGGACCCCCAGACAGCAUAAAUUCGACUUUUUUUGGCUGGAAUUGAACUAGGAACAUUACCCUAAGAUGUUUUUGGACUUAUAAACUUGUUUUUGAUGUGGUAAUGUUCAUGCUAAUCCAAUUUUAAAGAUAACGGUCAAUAGAUUCAUGUUUUGUAUUAGUUUAAGGUUUAGAUUAAUUACAUGAAGAAGCUUGAUUUGAAUUAUCUUGUUCUUAUGAGUUGCUUAGAUUAAUCGGAAGUUAUGUGAAAUAGUUGUUUUCAAUACAAAUUAAUCUAAGAGUUGAUUCUAAAAUGUGUUUUGGUAACUUGUCCUCAACUUAUAUGAAAAGUCACAUUUAAGUUUCAUAAAACUCAUAAAAGUUGGCAAUGGUUACAAAAAAAGGAAGAGUCUUGUCCUCAAGUUAUGGAGGUUCAAGAGUCACUUCAUUAAGUAAUAAAAUGUGUAACCUUAAUUAAUUCCAUAAGUUAUAAAAUAAAGAAAAGUUAAUUCUUUUAUUAGUUUAAAGUUUUCCAUAACUUGUCCUCAAGUU
rnacentral:lncRNA from 1 species